GUUAAAUUAUAAGACUUUAUGUACUUUUUUUGUAUUAUGUAUUAUUUUAUUUUAUAUAUUUUUAUUUUAAUAUUUUAAGGGAAUGUAAAUGUAACCACAUUUUAAUUGUUGUACUAAUGGAUUAAACGCAGAUUAGGGAGUUUUUAUGAGGGGUUAGCGUCAAUUUUCCUUUUUACGCUUAUCUUUCUUAUGUUUUUUCUUGUGCUCUAAAAAACUACAUGGAUAUCAUGAAGGAGAUCACCCCGAAGAUCUGCACCCUUCUUCUAAUGUUGAUCAAGGUGAGGCUCAACAUAAUGAUGUUGGAGAGAGGGCUUGGAGACCUUGCCUUGGAUUCUUGCUCUGAUAGGAUGUAACAUCAAGGUGAGGCUCAACACAAUGUUGAUGAUGUUGGAGACAAGGCUUAGACCUUUCCUUGGAUUAUUGUUGUGAUAGGAUGUAACUUCAAGGUGUAGUUAAUAUUUGAUAUUUGUUUUAUUCAUGUUUAGGACAAUUGUUAGUUUUCAUUAUUGUUAUUCUCAAAAGACCUUUAGUUUGGUGCAUUAUUUAGGAAAUUGCUAUGGUGCCAGUUUAUUUGAGAGGGUUUAAGUACUCCUUUGGUCAUCAACAAAUCACAUGUAGACACCUAUAUUAAGCAAGCUCAUCCACUGACUCUGUCGUCAUCUUCGUCGCCCUCUUUUACGCUCUCAUCUAUGUCCUCGGCCUUGUCGUUGUUGCACGUUGUGGCUGUCUCCACCGCCUCCACCUCUCUGCAGUCGCCGCUCCUUCGCCUUCUUUCACCACUGCCAACAAAGGCAUCAAGAAAGAGGUCCUCCGCUCCCUCCUUAGGCUCAUCGCCACGGCCAAAUCUAUGAUAUGGUGGUUCUGCGAUUGUGCCUCAAAGACUUUGUGGCGACAAUGAUUAAGGGAGGAUUGGAGUUCGGCGACGUGCAACUCGAACAUGGAGAACUCAUCGAUGAUGUUGAGGUACUUCUACUUGAUGAAGGCAUAGUUCUGCUCGGCUUUCAUGUCAAGGGCAUCAGCCUUGGUACGAACGGUGUCGAGGUUGUGGAGAAGGCUGUGAAUGAAGGCAUUGACCUUAAUAGCCAUGACGGCGAUGUCAUCGAAGCAGGGCGAAAACUCAUCAUUGAAAAUGAAGAGAGGUAUCGCAAGAGUUUGGAAGGGAUAGUAGAAAUGAGAGAAAGAAAAAGAGAGUAAAGUGAAAUUUCAUAAAUGUCCUUUGAUCGAUUCUAUGAGAGUUGACCAUGACUUACCUUGUUCAACACAAAUGUCAAUAUGUAAUUUGUUGAUGACCAAAGGACACCCAAACCCUCUCAAACAAACUGACAUCAUAGCAAUUCCCCAUUAUUUAUAGU